GCUCCCUUCGGCAGCACCUACACUAAAGCUGGAAGGAUACAGAGAAGAUCAGCACGGCCCCUGCAUAGGAUGACGUGCAAAUUCAUGAAACAGUCCAAGUUUUA